UGGCCCAUAGCCAAGCGGUAAGGCAACGGAUUUUGAUUCCGUCAUGCCCUGGUUCGAAUCCAGGUGGGCCAGCCA
rnacentral:tRNA from 1 species